CCUACGGGAGGCAGCAGUGAGGAAUAUUGGUCAAUGGGCGAGAGCCUGAACCAGCCAAGUCGCGUGAGGGAGUACUGCCCUAUGGGUUGUAAACCUCUUUUGUCGGGGAGCAAAAGCCGGACGUGUCCGGCUGUGAGAGGACCCGAAGAAAAAGCAGCGGCGAACUCCGGGGCAGCAGCCGCGGUAAUACGGAGGAUGCGAGCGUUAUCCGGAUUUAUUGGGUUUCAAGGGUGCGGAGGCGGAUUUUUAAGUCAGCGGUCAAAUCUUGGGGGUCAACCCCAGCCAGCCGUUGAAACUGGGGCUCUAGAGUGUGCGAGAGGUCUGCGGAAUGCGUGGUGUAGCGGUGAAAUGCCUAGAUCUCACGC
rnacentral:rRNA from 1 species